UUCCGGUUGAUCCUGCCGGACCCCACUGCUAUCGGGAUAGGACUAAGACAUGCUAGUCAUACCAGCCAAUGCGGCACACAGCUCAGUAGCACGUGGCUAACCUGCCCUUGGGAUAGGGACAACCCCGGGAAACUGGGGCUAAUCCCCAAUAGGCGAAGGCUCCUGGAAUGGACCGUUCUUACAAUGCUUAUUCGCCCAAGGAUGGGGCCGCGACCGAUCAGGUUGUUGGUGAGGCAACGGCUCACCAAGCCUCUAACCGGUGCGGGCCGUGGGAGCGGGAGCCCGGAGAUGGGCACUGAGACAAGGGCCCAGGCCCUACGGGGCGCAGCAGUCGCGCAAACUUUGCAAUACACGAAAGUGUGACAGGGCUAUCCCGAGUGCCGUCCGCUGAGGAUGGCUUUUACCCAGUCUAGAACGCUGGGGGAAUAAGGAGAGGGCAAGUCUGGUGUCAGCCGCCGCGGUAAUACCAGCUCUCCGAGUGGUGUGGAUGUUUAUUGGGCCUAAAGCAUCCGUAGCUGGCCAAGCUAGUCCCUUGUUAAACCCACCGAAUUAAUCGUUGGCGUGCGGGGGAUACUGCUCGGCUAGGGGACGAGAGAGGCAGACGGUAUUCUCGGGGUAGGGGUGAAAUCCUAUAAUCCCGAGAAGACCACCAGUGGCGAAGGCUGUCUGCUAGAACGCGCCCGACGGUGAGGGAUGAAAGCUGGGGGAGCGAACCGGAUUAGAUACCCGGGUAGUCCCAGCUGUAAACGAUGCAGGCUAGGUGUUUGGACGGCCACGUGCCGUUCUAGUGCCGCAGGGAAGCUGUUAAGCCUGCCGCCUGGGGAGUACGGUCGCAAGAUUGAAACUUAAAGGAAUUGGCGGGGGAGCACCACAAGGGGUGAAGCUUGCGGUUUAAUUGGAUUCAACGCCGGA
rnacentral:rRNA from 1 species